rnacentral:lncRNA from 1 species
AAGAUGUUCUGUUAGAGUACUGAAAGUACCUAGUAAAAUAUUUUGACAGUAAUAAAUUCAAGGUAAUUGAAUAAAUAACUAAAAAAUUUCAGAUAAUACUCGUUAAUUCAUUGACUAGAGAUUUUUUCAUCUCUCGAAUUGAAAUGCAGGUUGUCAAUAACAGAAAUAGAGAAAAUAAAUAACUAAACAUUCUUGUGGUGC